UUGGAGGGCAAGUCUGGUGCCCGCAGCCGCGGUAAUUCCAGCUCCAAUAGCGUAUAUUAAAGUUGUUGCAGUUAAAAAGCUCGUAGUUGAAUUUCGGGAUCAGAUUGUCGGUCGUGCCUCGGUACGUACUGGCAUUAUUGGUUCCUACCUUCUGAAGAACCGCGAUGUCAUUAAUUUGGUGUCGUGGGGAAUCAGGACUGUUACUUUGAAAAAAUUAGAGUGUUUAAAGCAGGC
rnacentral:rRNA from 1 species